AUCCGUCACACACAGACAUUCACACAUUAUCUUGUGUCUUUCGUAAUUCCACGUGUACAAGUGUCAGCCAUAGAAGACAAAAGAACAGCGUAAACAAGGGCAGCAGAGCGGACAAAGACAGGAUGUCACAAAAAAAAAAAUAGACACGGCUAUCUUUUGGCUUGCUGUAGAAAUCAGGAUGCACUCGACUAAAAGUCGUAUUUCGGGAGUGAGGUGAGAGCCUUCUCUUGGUUACGGGUUCAUGUGUACUGGAUCAUGGUCUGUGUGUGCAUGGAGGGAAAAGGCAUGAGCCUGUUUGGUGUCUUCAGGCCCUUCCCAGCUGGCCCCACUAAGUCUGAGCACACUUGAUUGGCGCCGUGCUGCUGGGUGUCCUCAGGCCCUUCCUGGCUGGCCCCACUGUGUCUUGAGUACACCUCCCAGGGACAGCGGCACACUUUGAACUGUCUUUCCUGAUCGCUGCACUUAAAGGAAAGAGUUACAGCUCUUGGAACAGCUGGGGAAAUCACCCGAAAAGAGAACGUCUGACGCUUUCUCAGUAAGGCUUGUAGAAAACAAGUCAAACUUUAUAGGUUUCUGGAUAUGUCUGAAUGAAUCAGACAUCAGUUUGGCUUUCAUCAUUAACUCUGCUAUGGUGGAUAACUCAUUAAAACAAAUGGAUUUAGGUCUCAGACCAGUUUUAAGUGUCAGUGCCUAUCUGAUGAAGUAAGAUGAGGGGGUAAAACCAUAGCUCUGGUGACAUUAAUCACACGUGGGGAUGAUGAUGACAAGUGUAAUUUCAGACAAAAGAGAAGACCGUUAAUAACUGUAGUCAGUGGAAGAGAAAUCACUUAGUUCCUACUGAAAGGCAGGCAGAAUCAUUAGCCUGUAUAUCAUACGUAAUUUAACUCAUUAAGUUCAUGAAUAAUAAACAAGGCAACAUGCAGAGAAUUUUUUAUACUUCAAAGGUAUGAUGCUGUGUAUGUUCAAGUAAUGUGUGUGUAUAGUGUAUUUAUUGGUGAAUGUCUAUAUUAUAAAACCGUAAG